rnacentral:rRNA from 1 species
GCUCAAAUUUGAAAUCUGGCACCUUCGGUGUCCGAGUUGUAAUUUGAAGAAGGUAACUUUGGAGUUGGCUCUUGUCUAUGUUCCUUGGAACAGGACGUCACAGAGGGUGAGAAUCCCGUGCGAUGAGAUGUCCAACUCUAUGUAAAGUGCUUUCGAAGAGUCGAGUUGUUUGGGAAUGCAGCUCUAAGUGGGUGGUAAAUUCCAUCUAAAGCUAAAUAUUGGCGAGAGACCGAUAGCGAACAAGUACAGUGAUGGAAAGAUGAAAAGAACUUUGAAAAGAGAGUGAAAAAGUACGUGAAAUUGUUGAAAGGGAAGGGUUUGAGAUCAGACUUGGUAUUUUGUAUGUCUUGCUUUCGGGUGGGGCCUCUGCAGUUUACUGGGCCAGCAUCGGUUUGGACGGUAGGAUAAUGACAUUGGAAUGUGGCACUACUUCGGUGGUGUGUUAUAGACUUUGUUGAUACUGCCUGUCUAGACCGAGGACUGCGUCUUUGACUAGGAUGCUGGCAUAAUGAUCCUAAACCG